rnacentral:lncRNA from 1 species
ACAUAUCAUAUCACUGUUCUUUAAUUUUCAUUCGUUACACAAGCAUGUAUUCACAUAAUUUAUCUUUUACACACAUUGUACACUUACAAGUAACUCACCCAUUUAUUCAUAUCACACACCAUACGUAGUAUAAUAAAUAACGAAAAAAAAAAAGCAGUAAAAAAAAUAGAAAGAAAUCGAUGAAGAGAAAAAUUUGAGAAUAAAAGAAAUUAGAAAUAGUGAAAAAUAGAAGAGGAUGGAUGAACAUCUGAUUGGUAUUAAGUUUUCCGACGAAUUUCUCACCGGAAUACAUCAAAUUAUAUCGCUGUCACCCCUCCCCAGAUCUGCCGCCACCGUUCAGUCGCUACCAUCCCAGUAGCCAGUGACCUUUCAUCCUUUUCCCCUUUUCCGGCGGUGCCACCAGUCACUCUGGCGUCACUAGAUCUGGCCGACGUAUUUGAACCCAUCACUGCUGUUAUUUUUUUAUUUUUUUUUAAAUGGGGGUUUCACUAGUCUUAUUUUCCUUAAAAAUGGACUUAAAAUUUUG